UGAGGAAUAUUGGUCAAUGGACGAGAGUCUGAACCAGCCAAGUAGCGUGAAGGAUGACUGCCCUAUGGGUUGAAAACUUCUUUUAUACGGGAAUAAAGUUGGGCACGUGUGCCUUUUUGUAUGUACCGUAUGAAUAAGGAUCGGCUAACUCCGUGCCAGCAGCCGCGGUAAUACGGAGGAUCCGAGCGUUAUCCGGAUUUAUUGGGUUUAAAGGGAGCGUAGGCGGAUGCUUAAGUCAGUUGUGAAAGUUUGCGGCUCAACCGUAAAAUUGCAGUUGAUACUGGGUGUCUUGAGUACAGUAGAGGCAGGCGGAAUUCGUGGUGUAGCGGUGAAAUGCUUAGAUAUCACGAAGAACUCCGAUUGCGAAGGCAGCUUGCUGGACUGUAACUGACGCUGAUGCUCGAAAGUGUGGGUAUCAAACAG
rnacentral:rRNA from 1 species